CCUACGGGAGGCAGCAGUGAGGAAUAUUGGUCAAUGGGCCCGAGCCUGAACCAGCCAAGUAGCGUGAAGGAUGACUGCCCUACGGGUUGUAAACUUCUUUUAUAAAGGAAUAAAGUGCGGCACGUGUGCCUUUUUGUAUGUACUUUAUGAAUAAGGAUCGGCUAACUCCGUGCCAGCAGCCGCGGUAAUACGGAGGAUCCGAGCGUUAUCCGGAUUUAUUGGGUUUAAAGGGAGCGUAGAGGGGUUGUUAAGUCCGUUGUGAAAGUUUGUGGCUCAACCGUCAAAUUGCAAUUGAUACUGGCAGCCUUGAGUACAGUUGAGGUAGGCGGAAUUCGUGGUGUAGCGGUGAAAUGCUUAGAUAUCACGAAGAACUCCGAUUGCGAAGGCAGCUUACUAAACUGCCACUGACAUUGAUGCUCGAAAGUGUGGGUAUCAAACAGGAUUAGAUACCCGAGUAGUC
rnacentral:rRNA from 1 species